rnacentral:lncRNA from 1 species
UUUGAUUAAAAACUGGUGUCCACAGUGUGAGGCCCCCAAAAUGGAGGCCUUAGUGGGAGUGCCAUUGCUCUCGAAGAGAACCCUUCACACUCAAACAUCCCCACCUCCGUCCCCAAUGCGUCAGGAAGAGAAAGGCGUGGAGACCCCAGAUUGGGAACAAGAGGUCGCCGAACCCCUUACCUUAAAUAAGGGGGUAGAUAUGGGAGAUUUGGAGGUGACUAUGAAAGGGUUAACCCUUACCCCGGAACCCGGGGAAUCUUUGGCGGGAAGACGGAGGGAGGAGAUUGUGGCAGCAGCGGGAGAUAUAAGAGGGAAGCCGGCGGAGAUACCGGGUGGAUGGGAGUGGAUCUGGACGGAGGAUCCCUGGACCCACAAGUGGGAGCAGGUCCGUGUCCCCCAUGAAGAGGCAGAGAAACGGCGUCAGCUUGGGCUGAAGCCUCGUCCUUCGUAUUGGGGUGAGACAGAGGCCAAGGAGUGGAGAAGGAAGCUUCGGGAAGAAAGGGAAGCUGUAGCCCGAGAGCUAGAAAGGAAAAAAACAAUGGCAUAUAGCGGAAUUGAGGAAGGUGGGGGGUUACCCGGUCCCUGGGGAGUCGAAGGAGGAGACGGAUCGUCCUGGGGGGAGUGGAGUGGGGAUGAAGAGACUUUACCGCUAAUAUCUCUGGAAGAAGAAUUGGACCCUGGGCAGGGAACUGUGCCGUUGUUAACAGGACCUUGGAACCCAGAGAUGACAAACCCUUUUAUAAACGGUUUAUGGACCCCGUUAAAGUCGAGCAAUGUGUUGCAAGAAUCUUUGAACCCCUUUUUAGGGGUGAACCCUGUUGGAGUUGAUGUUGCAAUUAAUACUGAACCGUUGGAUUUACAUCAACCGCCUUGUCCUUUAUUUGAAGAACCGACAGCCCCAAAAACUAAACCCUCACACACAGAUUGUCAUGUUAGUGAACACGAGAAGUAAUUUUUAUUUGAAAGCCGGUGCAUGAUGAGAACCCAUUAGAUGUUUGUAUCAGAAGAGGUCAGGUUAGCUCAUAAGGAAGCCAAUAUUUGAUUCAUAGCCUACCUCCUAAGCUCAAAUAAUACUGAAGCAGCUUGUUUUUCUUGGUUAACACACACACACACACACACACACACACACACACACACACACACACACACAAAUGCCCAGAUUUAUCGCUUUUCUUUUUUUAUUAAUUCCCCUAUAUGAUUGUUGUUUAUUUUAGGAAACAUCAAAUGUUAACUAGGAGAACCAGUGAGCUUUAAAACUUACAACAAAUUACAGUGCUACUACUACUAUGGGGCAU